rnacentral:sRNA from 1 species
CAGGUUCGAAUCCUGCACGACCCACCAUUCAACAUUGAACUUUGAUGUUGAACGUGAAGGAUAACGUUGCGUCAGCAACGGCCCGUAGGGCGAGGCGAAGCUGAGUCAUCCUGCACGACCCACCA